rnacentral:rRNA from 1 species
GAUGAACGCUGGCGGCGUGCCUAAUACAUGCAAGUCGAGCGAACAGAUAAGGAGCUUGCUCCUUUGACGUUAGCGGCGGACGGGUGAGUAACACGUGGAUAACCUACCUAUAAGACUGGGAUAACUUCGGGAAACCGGAGCUAAUACCGGAUAACAUAUUGAACCGCAUGGUUCAAUAGUGAAAGGCGGCUUUGCUGUCACUUAUAGAUGGAUCCGCGCCGUAUUAGCUGGUUGGGAAGGUAACGGCUUACCAAGGCAACGAUACGUAGCCGACCUGAGAGGGUGAUAGGCCACACUGGAACUGAGACACGGUCCAGACUCCUACGGGAGGCAGCAGUAGGGAAUCUUCCGCAAUGGGCGAAAGCCUGACGGAGCAACGCCGCGUGAGUGAUGAAGGUCUUCGGAUCGUAAAACUCUGUUAUCAGGGAAGAACAAAUGUGUAAGUAACUGUGCACAUCUUGACGGUACCUGAUCAGAAAGCCACGGCUAACUACGUG